rnacentral:rRNA from 1 species
AAUGUCUAAGAUAGCCAUGCACGUCUAAGUACAAACUAAAUGAUGGUGAAACUGCAAAUGGCUCAUUACAACGGUUAUGAUGUACCCGGGAGUUCCGAUGGAUAUUUCCAGUAACACUAGAACUAAUACAUGUCCCUGCGUUUAUUAGUUUCGCACAGUCCGUCGCUGAGUCAUGGUAAACAGUUGAUCGACUCGACGUCCCGGAACAGUUUCCGCCCCAUCAGCUUCGAUGGUUGGGUAUUGGCCUACCAUUGCAACAACGGGUAACGAGGAAUUAGGGUUUGAUUUCGGAGAGGGAGCCUGAGAAACGGCUACCACAUCUACGGAUGGCAGCAGGCGCGCAAAUUACCCAAUGCAGACACUGUGAGGUAGUGACGAGAAAUAAUAAAGCGGGACUUCUGUUUCGCUAUUAUAAUGAGGAAUAACCAAAGGUCAUUCCGAUUAGCAACUGAUGGGAAAGUCUGGUGCCAGCAGCCGCGGUAAUACCAGCGUCAGUAGCA